GAAAGUAUGUUCUAUUUUCAUUUUUCAAGCGACAUUAGCAUAACGGAGGUCCAAUUGUCUUCGGUGGUUUGUCUCACAGCCCAAAUGCCACAUGUGGUUUAUUAUUCUGCGACAAUGGCUUCCAAACCAAGAUUCUUUGAGAUUAUUGCUAUUCAAAAGAACACAGCAAACCACUCGGGGAAAGGAACCAUAAAAGGCAACUUUCCUUCAAGGCGCCAUAAGUACUACACAACUGCCCUCACGCAGCUUUGGAUCACCCAUGUCCCGACAUGUGCCGAGUCUGGAUAUUGUUCUCCAGGGUCUUUUAGAGCCUGAAAUGCUUCUGAGAGUCCACGGUGUGAUAGAAGCAGCCUCUCCUGCAGGUACAGCUUGCUGUAGUCAGAUGCAUAUUCUACCGUCAAUCCAACACCAAACAAAGUUCACUCUCCAGAAAGAGAAGAUCAGAGUAUUCACCACGAAGAAUCGAAUGGAUCUCAACCACCUUGGAGAACAACAGGGGGAAGCUGAUGAGAACACUCCGUUUUGGCAGCCCACAGCAGCCACCUGAGGUUCUCUGGUUCUCAUCACAUCCCCCGCCCAGCAAAGAGACCAGAGCAUGGCUGUCUGCAGACAUGUGGUACCCACUUCCCACAAACACCAAAGUGAGACCUGCUGCUUAGACAACACAGAUAAGGUUAAAAUCAAACCCUUGAGGUCAGCCAGCCAUCAGUGAGUCCUAGUUCUGACCCUGAUCACCUGUGGGACCUUGAGCAAGCUACUUAACUUCUCAGAGCCUCAAUUUCCUCAUCUGUAAAAUGGGAAUAACCUACUCACAAAGCAGUCAGCAGACUUUCUACUCACUUAUGUGCUCAAUGAAUGUUAGCUAGCUAUUCUUAUUACUUCCAGGAGACAAGAGCCUAGAAGGGUGUGUGUUUGACUCUCGUUUGUAUUUUCCAUACUUAACAAAGUGCCUUGCCCAGAGAUGCGACUGAGUGCAGUUUUUACUAAAUGAAUUCUGGCUGCCCUCUGUAGCUGGCUGGUGGUAACUAUAGACACAGUUUAGGAUGGACCUGAGUAUGGAAAGGAACGGGAUUGGUGAAGGCCAGUUUGUCCUCACUGACCUACGUUAUCAAUGGGUUGGGGUUUGCUUUCUCUCUGGAAGAUGCCUCAUUUCCUUUCUAUGGAUUCCCUUUGUAGUUGCUCAGCACUUCUCUGACUCAUGAUAAUAAAUUCC
rnacentral:lncRNA from 1 species